GUGGCCUAGUGGUUAGAGCGUCUGCCUCGGAUGCGGGGCGGGUGAUCGUGGGUUCGAUCCCCGGGCCA